rnacentral:lncRNA from 1 species
GCCCGUCCAACUAAACCCCUGCCCGGAAUUCUUAUAUUCCCAGUCCCCGUCUUUAAAGCCUCUCAAACCUCCCUCUUACUCUUCCCUCAGAAUCCUAACCCUCAUCUCCCCCUUCCGCUCCGGCGAUCCGAAGCCCUAGAAGACAGAGAAUGGCAGCUCUCUAUUCCAAGGUCCUCUCCCUCCUCUUCGCGGCGGUCCUCGUCGUGAUCGCCCUCGCCGGCGGAGCUGCCGCGGCGGAGGCCCCCGCCCCGAGUCCCACAUCCGGCGCUGGGGCCCUCUCCACUCCCCUCGCCGCCGCCCUUCUCUCCUCGUCCGUGGCGCUCCUGAUCGGGUCCCUGCGCCAUUGAACGCUCCGACGGCUCCGUUAUCAGGUCUCGUCCUUCCGGUUCCGGAUCCGACGGCGUCUGAUGCGUAUCUAGGCUUACCUACAUACUCUCUGGACAUGCGUUUGUUAGUAGAUUCUUUGUUAUAGCAUUGUUUUGGAUCUUAUCUCUAUUGACGGCAUCUCCGGCGCCUCUAUGGAUGCUGGAACUCGACUGGUGUUAGGGUGUUUCGGUUUGAUGGUUUGAUCCAUAGAUCUGAUCUGUAUGAGACUUUUUAUAUACAGAUAUAUUACUCUUGGUUUGAUCUGUUCUGUUAGUUUUAUACUUCUCUUUGUACGACUUUUUUUAUGGAUUCCGGGAUUUUCUUUUGAUGUCACUGCGAGAAAAAUUUCAUUUGAUUCCCCAAA